UGCAGGUCCCAGCCUGACCUGGCAGGAGGGCCUGGAAGGAACCAGGUCAGAGGCCUGGCAGGGCUGACUCGACGUUGAGCCAGGAGCUAAAGAUAUGGCCCUGGUGGUUGUGAGCAGUCCAAGUCCUCAGGCAGCAGCUCUCAACCCUGGCAGGUGGUACAGAGACCAUGCGGGAACUUGAAGAGGAGAUUGGAGUGCUUCAAAAGGCGUUCUAUCUGGGGGAGAAAUGGGUUCCCUGAAGAACUGAUGCUUUCAAACUGUGGUGCUGGAGAAGACUCUUGAGAGUCCCUUGGACUGCAGGGAGAGCAACCCAGUCAAUCCUAUAGGAAACCAACCCUGAAUAUUCAUUGGAAGGACUGAUGCUGAAGCUCCAAGACUUUGGCCACCUGAUAUGAAGAGCCGACUCACUGAAAAAGAUCUGAUGCUAGGAAAGAUUGAGGGCAAGAGGAGAAGGGGACGACAAAGGAUGAGAUGGUUGGAUGGCCUCGUCGCCUCAACGGACAUGAGUUUGAGCAAACUCCAGGAGAUGGUGAAGGACAGGGAAGCCUGGCAUGCUGCAGUCCAUUGAGUUGCAAAGAGUCAGACAUGACUGGGUGACUGAACGAUAGCAACGACGACAAAGGGGGGAACUGAGCGCAUGGCAGGGAACACAUUUGGGGGUGGCUGGGGUGUGGGCUCUGGGCUGGUUGGUUUGUAUUUGAGAGGCACAUUUGUGGGUUUGUGGUUGGAACCUCUAGGAACUGGCUAGUCCACGGAAGGGUCAGAGAGGCCCCAGAUGUCAAAGCUAAAACACAGACCUGAUUAAUGUAAGACUUGGUUAAUCCAGGAUGGUUCGCAGAGAAAUGGGCAGUGGGGAGUGGUGUUGGCUCUGAGCUUCAGAUCCAUUUUAAAGUCUCUCUCCUAAAAGCACUGUCUGGUCUAUAAAUUAUGCGCUGGGGUGUCACUGCCUCUUGUCCUCCAAGCUCAGCCAGUCUCUCCGAUGCCAGAUUAGGGGUAUCCCCUUCCUUUUCCUCUAUAGGUGAGGAAGGGGGUCCCUUGCUCAGGGUUCAUGGACUGAGACCAGCUGUUGCCAUGCGAGGUCAUAGACCCCUUACAAGCCCUCAGGGGACAAGUGUAACAGUGUGGGGUGUGCUGGGGCAGGGGGGUGACCAGAGCCACAUGGAAGGUACCUCCUGACGGGACACCAAGGAAUCUCUUCGUGUGAUUCACUGCACCAGAGCCUUCCUUCCAGCUGCCAAAGCCUGCGGAGCCCGCCUGUGACAGCCUGCCUGGGGGGCUGGAGUGUCCCGAAGACGACAAAUCAAAGCUGGCUCAGCCCGAAGCCUGCAUGCCUUUUGGGAGGGCUGGCAGGUGCCGUGCCCAGCCACACCAUCUAGACAACCUGGACCCAUAGGUGUGAUGGGAACCGCGUUGUUCCAGGCCACACGUGUGCAGACCAGUGUCCCACACUGUAUAGCGUCAUCAGGCACAGACUCUGAGAACGGAAAGGAACCUUCGAGCUUGUUGACGGAAUGAGUGAGACUCCCCUGGUGGCACAGUGGGUAAGAAGCUGCCUGCCAAUGCAGGGGAAAUGGGUUCGAUCCCUGAUCUGGGAAGAUUCCACAUGCCGCGGAGCAACUGAACCUGUGUGCCACAACUAUUGAACUUGUCCUCUGGAUCCUGGGAACUGCAACUACUGAGCCCAUGCACCACAGCUACUGAAGCCCGUGCACCCGAGAGCCUGUGCUCUGCAACAAGAGGAGCCACUGCAAUGAGAAGCCUGUGUGCCACAACUGGAGAGGAGCCCCUGCUCACUGCAACUAAAGAAAGCCCUCACAAAGCACCGAAGACCCAGCACAACCCAAAAUAAAUGAAUAAAUAAAAUUAUAUAGAAAAGAAUGAGUGGGUCUAUGGGGAUACUAUAGCAGAGGCUGUCCCAUUAAACUGGGGACCAGUAGCCCAUGUUGUAAUACACAUCACAGUGGCCAAGCCACAGCAUCCUUGCCUGCAGCUCCCCUCUCAUCACCUCCAACCUCUGCCUCCACAUCAUUGUAAGGAAGGAAGAAAAGGGAGGUGGGGGGGAAUCUUGCUGCUAGGUUUGCAGAGGAUGCUGCUGAUUUCUGAACCAGAACGGACUUUGAAAAGUCCUCCUGAGUCUAAAAAGAUGAAGACUCAUUGCUUCAACCCUUGCAGUAAACAUCCUGGGUAACCUUCACCUCAAACCUCAGAGGUUUCGAGAUGGCACAGAACAUGCUGUGCCGUGUUUAUUUCCCAUCACUUGGUGGAGAAACUCUGCACGGGAAGGAGGAGGCAGAAAUGAAGCCCUGGAGGUACUGCAGGGUGGGUUCCAGACCUCCGCAAUAAUGUGAAUCUCGCAAUAAAGUGAGUCACGUGGAUUUUUUUUUUUUUGGUUUCGCAGUGUAUAUAAAAGUGUAAUACACUCUACUGUAACCUGUUAAGCAUGCAAUAACAUUAUGUCUAAAAAAAAGUACAUCCCUUCACUGAAAAAUACUUUCUUGCUAAAAAAUGCUAACCAUCAUGUGAGCCUUCAGUGGGUCAUCACUUUUUUGCAAUAGUCCUGUCAAAGAUCACCAUCACAACUGUAAUACUAAUGAAAAAUGUGAAAUACUUGUGGAGAAUGGCCAAAAUGUGAAACAGACACAAGUGAGCAAAUGCUAUUGGAAAAGUGGCACCCCUAGACGUGUCCGAACCCAGGUUGCUGCAAACCUUCAAUGUGU
ensembl:lncRNA